rnacentral:lncRNA from 1 species
AUGUUCUCAGGAAUCUUGUGCAUUGGAACGUGUCCAGGUCCUUCAUUCAUUACCUGUACAUCCUUUUCCCAUGCCCUACGGGUCAGUUCUCCCUGAGUUAAGAGCUCUGCAAACUGUGCAGUGUCAUUGGCAUCAUAAAUGGAACCAGGUCUCAGCCCAUCACCUAUUGACAGGGCUACAUCAUAUUGAUUGCAGAUGUCAAGUAUGUCAUCCCAAUGUUCAUAAGCAAAAUUCUCUUUGUG